rnacentral:rRNA from 1 species
UUCGCCUUCAUGAAGCCGGAAUUGCUAGUAAUGGCAGGUCAGCAUACUGCCGUGAAUACGUUCCCGGGCCUUGUACACACCGCCCGUCACACCAUGAGAGUUGGGAAUACCCGAAGCCUGUGAGCUAACUUUUAGAGGCAGCAGUCGAAGGUAGAAUCAAUGAUUGGGGUGAAGUCGUAACAAGGUAGC